ACGUCAACAUAAUGGCCGCAAUCACUUAUCAGCUCCUGCAUGGAACCAUGCCCCUACAACCAACAUACAUUCAGCUCCAGAUGAUUUUAAGGUUAUUGACAUGGGAGAAGACAAGUAUGAUCCACCCAUCAUCCUUGGAAGACCGUUCCUCAGCACUGUUAAAGCAAUCAUCUACAUUGGAACCGGAGAAGUCCACAUGCACUUCCCCUCUGAGAAGGUACGCUACUAUUUUACUGACCCUAACUAUAUAGUUGAAGACUCUAAGCAAGUCAGGACAAGAAGAAGACGACGCAACCGUAACCAGAGGAGGAAAAUCAUAAAGGACGGAUGGGCAGACUACGAAGAAGAAGUGGUAUUGUCUAAAGACAUACAACUUGAACAGAACGUAGCAUCAAGUCAGAGAGAGAAGAUAGUUAUACACGAAGAGGAGGCGUUGCCGGGACCACCGACUACGCCAUCCAGCGAAUCCCACGACGAAAAACGGAGAGUCCCGUUCGGAGGACUUAAAAACACCGAACGCCUUGCCAAGAGGUAAACUUGGUAGUUAUCUUUUUCCUUUCAAUUAUUUAAAAUAGUUUGCUUAGUUAAUCAGGUUUAUAUCAUCUUAAAAAGUAAAUAAAAAUGUUAAAAAUAGUAAGCCCCAUGUGAGUAUGCUCAUGGCAUAAAACCCAUAAGUACAUUCACUGUGGUGGCAUAAAAAUAAAAUAAAUAUAUUCAUGUCCUAUAAAAAUGAAAAUAUAAAAAUAAAUUUAUGAUCCUACUACAGAGAGUAACAUUUAUUGAGGAGGCUCAACAUGAUAAAGGCUAGGUAUUUACGCUAACCCUUAACCAGUUCCACAAAGCUUUGUUGUCUAUUUGAACUCCACAGAAUUCAAGGAUCAAAGAAGACUAGCAGACGGAGAACAUCCUAAUCGCUGACAGAGUGCUACUGACAUUCAAAUACACCUCCGCCAGCUGCUAGCUACAUCAGAAGAAAUUACGUCAAAAUCCAGCUUGGGGGAGAGCACCCCCAUUUAUCCAGCUAAGUGUUCUACUCACGUUUAUAUUUUACUCAAAUAAUAAAAAGAUGCAUGAUCAUAAAAACCCAAAUAAAGAUUUUGUGCUUAUAUAUAUCUUUGCGUAGUUUGCUAAAUAAAUAAAUAAAUAAAGUUUGCUAUGAACCCUCAUGAUAAGCUCUCAAAUAGAAAUGAUGAAUAGUUGCUCUACCAUGACUAGUUCUUAAAAUUGAAAUCUCUCUUAAGUUUAGGCAUGACUGUUAUUAAUUAAGAUUUGCUCUAAACCUGAACUUGUGGGAAGAGUACUUGAUCUGAAGUCUAAGUCGUUAAUGGAUAUUGUAUGGGAAGGUUGAGCUGCUGUUUAUCCGUUCCUAGAGAUGCUAGAAUUCUGGAGAAUUUUAUCUUUGAAAAUCUUUAAAUUGUUGCAUGAUGAGUUCCUGUAUGAUGAGAGUUUAAAUUCCUACCACAGCCAUAUAUACAUGCUUGCUAGACUUUGAGCCACACAUUUACUUUUUACUGCUUAUGAGCAUUGAGUGUGGUCAAGCUGUGUAUACCCUUAGGAGCUUGUCAUGUGGUUAAAUCAAGAUUCACUUGCACGUUCACUCAUACAUGCUGCUUCUACUCCGGAAGUAUGCAUCCACAUAUAUCCACCCAUUUCCAUCUCCAGAAUCACCUAAAAAUAUUCUACUCCUAAUCCGGGAGAGAAUAGCCAAAAACAUUUCUGUUUUUCCCUGUGAAAUAAAUGCUCAAGUUAUCUCGGUUACUACCACUUUGCUACAUUAUUUCAAGAGAUGAGUGCUCUAAAAAAAAGAGAGAAAAAAAAGAGAAAGAAUACGAGGAAAUAAAAAGGGGCAAGUGCCCGGAACCUCGAAAGAAAAGAAAAAGUGAGACGAGAGGUAAAAAUGGACAAGUGUCCGGUAGUAGAAUUAGGGGUACAAGAUACCCACCUGAGAGAAAAGAAAAAAAAAGAAAAUAUAGAGCAUCUCAUUCUCCCUGAAAGUUUCAAAAGAGCAAGAAAGGUAUGUAUCCCCUCAAAAGAGCACAAGUAGAAUUAGACUUUCACCAUUGUUAUCACCAUCAUCACCAUACACCAUUCAUUCGCCACACAUGCACAUCUUGAUUUGACUUAUUGAUUUGUUUCUUUGGAUCCAUGGUUUGACUAUACAAUACAUGUCUUGUAAGUAUGUAUACUUUAUCUCCCACCUAUGAACUCCAGAUAUUAAAGCCUUAUUAGAGUAGGGUGAGAGAGAAGGCAAUGCCACUAUGCUUUAUACCAUAAAUACUACAGAUUUUGAGAGAAGGCGUAUACCAUCACUGCCUUGGUAAGGCUCCAGAAAUACCACAAAAGAGAGAUUUGAGAGAGUCGUACAAGGAAUCUCUGAGUUUUAUUUGAAAAUCUGCAAAAACCCCAGAGCUAUAGCUGAUCAAGAAUAAGAGACAUGGCACUUGACUAGAUUGUUCUAUCUUUUAACUACUCAAGACAGAAGUGACGGUUACAAGUCCCAUGGUGAAAGGUAAAGUAAGUAAGUUUUAAGUCUUGAUAGUUUACCCUAACCCAGAGAUGAGAUCUUGUUUGAACGAAUGUGUAUUUUUAAGGCAUAAAACCACUGCAGAAACUCUUGAGUCCAUCUUUGCUCAGGGACGAGCAAAGGUUAAGCUUGGGGGAGCUUGUUGACGGUCCUUAAUGCUCACAUUUAACCAUCAACUAAUCAUGGAAAAGGAUCUAACUGGAACCAACACCUAGACUUAGGGUUUUAUCUGACAGAAUUCCACGAGUUUUGGUGUUUGUCUAUUUCUGCAGGGGGUUAUCAGGAAAUAAGGAAGAAAGGCCCACACAUCGGGUUUACAUAGAGAUAUUAACGUGUCGCGCAAUUUUCUACCAUCUAGAAGACUCCAGAAGCCACGGGAACGAACGGGAGGCCGAUCGGGCCCGGGGGCAGGGCGCCCGCCCAAGUCCCUUGGGUGCCCGCCCAGCUACAGUAACCAAUCAGCUUCAACUUCGCGGACCGUGCUCCACCGACCUAAAGGACCAAGGAAAACCGUGCGAUUAAUGUCGGUUUGAUCCGACGGCCCAGAUUCAUCUGAAAAGACUAUAUAAGCAAGCCCCCUGGCCCCUGGAGAUCAUACCUCUUCUACAGAAUCAAAGUUAGGGUUUCAAUUCUUCAUCCAAGUAGAGAGGAUCCCUCUAGUUCUUCUAGUUCUACCUCUAGUUCAUCUAGUCUAGUUCUAGUUCAUCUAGUUCUAGUUCUAGUUCCUCUAGUUCUAGUUCUAGUUAGUUCUAGUUGUAAUCUAGAAAAUAGGGAGAGAGAAGAGGAGAGCGAAGGAGGAGGAGCCGGAUCUGUCGGAUCUUCCUGAACAUUAUACUUUUGCAGCAACUGGUUCAUUCUUCAUCGUUCUCCAGGUUCUUCAAUUCAUAAUUCCUGAGUUCUUUAAUUACUUUUAUUUACAUUCAAGUUAUUUAUUGGAUUCCCACUUGCAUCAAGUGCUCUAGUCUUUAUAACGCUAGAGUAGUAAUUAAUAGAUUAGACGUGGUGUUUAGUCUUGCGAUUACCUGGAGUUGCACCCAAUCCUGCGGAUUGUUGUGGUAGCCUUAGGGUAGUGACAGCCCUAACGGUCGACGUAUUCCACCACAUUCGGAUCGGUGUUUGUAGGACCGUAGUCAGACCUUCCUAGCCCCCUUCUCAUCUCUUUCUGUGGUUAGUGCUCUGAUGUCCCGAUAUAGAUAAUCUUGAAGUAAUUCUUGAUUCUUAGAUCAACUAGAGAACUCUCAGGAAACUUCCUCUCUUCCCACCAAAAAAUAAUUAUAUAGUUAUCCUUGGGCGAUCUUGGAUCUUAAUUAGUACACUCACGUUCUCUGUGGAAAAUCGAUACUCUGGAAAACUCCCGGGUGAAAGCUACAUCGGUAUCCGUGCGCUUGUGGAUUUUUUCUGUUUGCGUUUAAAAUACCCAACACCCCCUUGUCCUGUACCCAGUAGUCGUGUACUAGUAUCCAGCCUUCGUCUUCCUCAGCACCUUCAAUCCCUCAACUUCGAGUUCAAAGCUUUCCGCAGGAAGAAAAUGGCAAAGAGCGACGCAAAGAAGAGGGCCGAGAUGAUGACCAAGGAGUGGAAAAAGUCUCGGAGCAACACGAGGUCCCUCAACGACCUCGUCGAGAUGGGACUCCUCCACAAUCAGGAGCUCGGCGGCUGGAGAGCAUCGGAAGGGGAGAGUUACCCAGACCCUCGCGCUGGUGAGAUUGUAGUUUUUGAAGAUUAUUUCAAGAGGGGAUUUGGGAUUCCAGUUCAUCCUUUUGCUUCAAGGCCUUCUUCUUUACUAUGAGAUCGGGAUCUGCAACUUGCACCCGAACUCCAUUCUUCUUGUUUCCACUUUCAUUCAUUUGUGCGAGGCCUAUGUCAGGAUAGAGCCGCACUUUGAUCUUUUCCGCUACUUGUUCUGUUUGAGGAAGAAGGGGGCGGUUGCAGGCUCCAAGAUUGCAGGUGGAGUAUACCUCAAUCUUCGUGAUGGGAUGAAAAACCGUUACCUUAGUUGCCCAUGGAACACCUCCCUCACCGAGUGGUACAAGAGGUGGUUUUACAUUAGGGAGGAGCCGGGCAGUGCCACUUUUUGUGAUGUCGGCUACAUUCCCGAGAAGAGGGUCAGCUGGACAGAUCAGCCCGAGUACAUUGGUCACGUGUCGGAGUUGAUGGGUCUGAUCGACUGGUCUCGCCUGGAUGGACCAGGGGUGGUCAGGAACUUCCUUGCUCGCCGAGUGAUGCCUUGCCAGAGGAGAGUGCACUCGGUGUAUGAGUACGCAGGAAGCCAAGACCCGACCAGGAUGCACCGGGAUAACUUGGAAAAAUCAGAGAUCUAGCGGAGGAUGAACGAGCUAUUCAACCUAGCUGACAAUAGCUUCGUUCGAAGUGAUGACUGGAUGCACGCCUUCAAGCUAGGGCAACCAGCCCCUAAGGUAAAUGAAUACCUUUGUUUAUUUGUAAUGCUAUUGAAUACUGUAACCUUUGGCUGAUGACUUGUCGCCUUUGUAUCGUAGAUAGGAAAUAUUGACCGGUGUGUUGACGGUCCUUAAGUAUCAAAUUUAAUUAUCAAAUAAACAAAGAAAAGGAUCCAAAUGAAAUCAACAUCUAGACUUAGGGUUUUAUCUGACAGAAUUCCACGAGUUUUGGUGUUUGUCUAUUUCUGCAGGGGGUUAUCAGGAAAUACGGAAGAAAGGCCCACACGUCGGGAUUACAUAGAGAUAUUAACGUGCCGCGCAAUUAUCUUACAUCUAGAAGACUCCAGAAGCCACGGGAAGGAAGCGGAGGCCGAGAGGGGCCAGAGGCAGGGCGCCCGCCCUGUUUCCCUAGGCGCCCACCCUCUGUUGGAGUCCAAACAGGACUCUAUUUCUCGGGAGAUCUCCACCGACCUAAAGGAUCAAGGAUAACCGUUCAAUCUAUGUCGGUUUGAUCCAACGGCCCAUAUUCACUUGAGGGGACUAUAAAACCAGACCCCCUGGCCCCUGGAGGAGGCACCCCUUGAUCAUUAUUCAUUAUUCAUAGACAGAGCAAAAGCUAGGGUUUGGAGAUGAGAGCUCUCCUCUCUUCUCUAAACUAGAGUAGAUCUAGAUAGUAGCAAGAUGGAGAGCGAAGGAGGAUUAGAGGAGAGGCCGGCCUGUCAGUUCUUCCUCUGGUUGUACUUCGUCAUGAUCAAGCUCUAAUCAAGCUUGCUCAUGGGAUGACUCUGGUAAUCUACUUCUAAUUCAUUAUGCAAUUACUAAUCAUGUAUGUUCUGGUUCACAACUCUUUUGAGUACUUCUAAUCUAUAGGACGGUAUAGGUUAGAGUUGUAGUAUAGGUGUAAGCGUGGUGCUUAGACCUAGAUUACUUGUGGAUAUCCCCUGUCUAGCUGGAUCGUGUGGUAGGCCGCGUAGGUGACAGUUACGUUGGUCCUCUGUAGUCCACCUCUCGUUAGCAGGACGGGUAGGGUUUAUCGGCCUAAGGAUAAGCAUCCUUUGUGGUGUAAUCUUAUCACGUGGUUCGUCCCAGACAUAGACAUACCCCUUUGAAGUAGAGAAACCAUAGUUAUCCUCUCUAUUCUGCUACCAUCGCUCAUAUACUAGAUUGCUCUACUCUCUACUCUAUAUUUACCCAUUGUUAUCUUACCUUUAAUAUUGUUCUUAUUCAAUUCUACCAUCUUUCCUAUUUACACUUAUCUAUCUAUCUUGGUUAAGUUAGAGCGUAGUUAGUUCUCCCGUUUCUCUGUGGAUACGAUAAAACCUUUAACCGGGUAAAAGCUUCAAUGGUAUCCGUGCGCUUGCGGAUUGUCUGUGUGCGUAUAAAUACCAUAGUACACUCUAGUGCCAUGCUGGGGAUGACAACCUAGUAUUCAAGUGGUAUUAGCAAGUGUCAACAAGCAUUUUUGGCGCCGUUGCCGGGGAGACGGUUGCUGACUUGACUACGAACUAGCUUAAUCAUUUUCUAAAAAAAUAAUAAAAAAAUAAGAACCACCAAAAUCUUCAAAGCCUAUCAUAGCAUCUAGUUUUGAGAUAGACCCCGAAUACAUAGAAUUUGUUCAAAAACAACCUUUCUCAGGAGAAGGUGAGGAAAACCCAUACACACACCUAAGAGAGUUCUAUCGAGUCUGUGACCUCCUUCGCAUAGAAGGCAUGUCCGAUGAGACCCUUCAAUGGAAGCUCUUUCCGUUCUCUUUAAUGGGAAAAGCUAGACAUUGGUACAAACUCAAAGUAGGGAGUGUUCAUGGAGAUUGGAAGGAGUUAUAUAAUAGUUUUCUUUUUAAAUAUUUUCCAAUCUCCAAAGUGGCGGAACUUCGGCGUGAGAUUAUUUCUUUUAGACAACUGGAAGAAGAAUCUCUUGGCAAAUCAUGGGACCGCUUUAUUAACCUUACUCUCAGUGGCCCAAAGCUUUCUAUUCCAGAAGAAGUUCUUCUAAUUCAUUUUUUUGAGGGCCUUAGUGGGGAAAAUAAGCAAACCUUGAAUACAGCCUCUAGAGGAUCCUUCUAUCACCUACCUGCUAGUGAAGCUUGGAAUUUGAUUGAUUUAUUAAGUGGAAAGUCUCCUAGCUUUUAUAUCCCUGAGAAAGAGACAGAACCAGUUCCUAGACAAGAAGAAGAAGAAGAAGUUUCGAUAGCCAGAUCACAACCAUUUCAAUUCCAAACUUGAGCUAUCGAUCCUAAACCAUCAAUACCCCAAAAUUCUUCAAGGAAGGAAGGAAUUCCGACCUUAAAUCUUUCAGGUACUGAUGGUUUAGACCUCUGGUUCCAUAAGAGACCUUCAAGGAGGGAUAAUUCAAAUCCUUGCAAUAAUGUUUCUCUCAGAGAAUGUCCUGGUUCCUAUUAUGAAGAAGUCGAGGAUGACAUAUCAAGUGAAGGAGAGCUAAGCCAUAUAGAAAAUUCUAAUACCUCCCCUUUCUUGAUCACAAGUUCUAAAUGGUUAGAAUGUGUAGAAUGGAUGGAUAAGGAAGAAGCCUUAAUGGAUUCUGACUUUGGCUCAAUUUCAAAUGGUGAGCUCUUGACUCCCUUUGAAGAUGGGAUUCAUCCAACUAUAGAAGAGGACAUAAGCGAGACCAAUCCAAGAGAAACUCCGAACAUUCAGAUUGGAGACGAAGAUAACAUUAAUGAGCAUAGAAUUUAUUUCAUAACCACUUCAUUUACUCCAUGCUCAUAUGAAACAUCUUCCCAAUCUAUUGGUCUCUCCAACAUUACCACAUUUGAGAUCUCCAACCCCCUCUUCCUUUCUAUUUACAAAAACUUUAAAAGGGCGGUUGUCGAUGCAUAUGUCUAUAAUAAAUAUUGCAGAUCUCGUUGAGUUGAUCUUGAUAUAGGUCAGCGUUGGAAGGGAAACCACUUCACCGACAUAAAUUGAUGGUUUCCCAAGGACAAGCUUGGUGUCCUAAAAUAAGCACUGAUCAGAUCAUAACAUGAGUUUUGAAUUAUUUGCAACAUUACCUUGUGUAUUGAGCAUAUAAGGAUAAUUGUAAAAAUAUUCCUUCGGGUAUUCUUGUCACUAACCUUUACAGGAUUGGAGCAAGAAGGUCGGAUGAAUGACAAGUACAAGGUAUGUCCAACCAAUCAUCAUACAACAUUGAAUUCAUCCAAACUUGAAUUCUGCAAAAUUCAAGCUUGGGGGAGUACUUUACAUAAAAACGUCCUUUGCCAUGUUGCUAUGCUGGUUGUCCCUACCUUUGAGACAUGCUCAAUUUGUUAAAUACUAAUCACACUACUUCAUCUCCACUUGAGUAGAUCUCUAUAAAUGCUGUCAUGCUACCUUUGUCUAUUUACUAGCAAGUGUUGGUUUGGAAGUACUCGCCAUACUUCCAUUGGCAUUUAAAUUAAGCAUGGUGCUUAGGUUAAAUAGCCUUCUUUAAUCUGAUUAGACAUGGAGUCUAGUUUGGUUACUGAACUAAAAACUGCUUGAGUAGAUAUUGGUAUAUGUUGUCGGACUAACCCCUACAGGAAAACUUUCACUAUCAACCUGGGAAGUCCUCAGAUAAACUCACAUCAGAGAUGAAGAGAGUGACACAUGAAGUUUAACAAUUUACACAAGGAAGACAUAGCUCAUAAGAGAUGAUCCAUGGAAGGUGCCACAAACAAGAUACACAACCACUGUGAAUGGGAAGCUUCCACAAGGUGAGAUGGUACCAUCACUCUUCAAUUAAGGUAACAUCUUAAGAUAUGUGACUAUCACUUUUAUAAGCUUCUCCUUGGUUCUAGCGUUCACAUAAAUAAAGAGACAAACAUGUAUGAUUUAUAACUCCAAAUUAACCAACCCAACUGAUUCAGCAUGUUUAGUCCUUCCACUUUUGUGAUCCCACACUCCUAGUCAUAUGAGCUAAAAUGUUGCGCAUUUAAUCUUUGGGAAGAUAUAAAGAAAAAGACAUAUACAUAGAUAGAUUAUCUUUCCAUAAGGUUGAAGCGAUCUGAUCUGACAAAUGUUAUAAGUGCUACACUCAUGAACUUAUCAUUCAUCAACUUUGUCUUGCUCACCAUGCUUAAGGUUAGAGAAGAACAAAUACACUUUUGGUUCUGUUGGUGUUUUCCACCAACAGGGCCCAUGCACCUCUCUGCCUUGUCUCUGUGAGCAGGUACACUACGAGCACAAACACACUAAGCAGGAUACUGCCAACGCCGCACUUUGAACUGCUGGGCAAACGAAGAGGUGCAGACAUCAAGGUCCGCACCUGAAUCAAAUGACGCACCUGAAGAAUGAACACGGUGAGAAGUCUUGUUAAGAAGACUUAAAACAUUGAACCCUCGCCGAAAGGUAAGAUCGGUAGUUAUCCAUAUUUAUCCUUUCUGCUUUCCCUUUUCCCUUUAAUUAUUUACUUUCCUUAAAUAGAUUAUUAGUUAAUCAUGCUAUCUUGAAAAGAAAAUAAAAAUGUUAAAAAAUACUAAGCCCCAUGUGAGUAUACGAGUGGUAUAAAACCCAUAAGUACCUUCACUGUGGUGGCAUAAAAAUAAAAUAAAUAUUUAUUUUCUGCUUUAUAAAAUAAAAAUAUAAAAACAGGGAGUAAUAUUUAUUGAGGAAGCUCAACAUGAUGAAGGCUAGAUAUUUAUGCUAACACUUAAUUAGUUCCACAAGCUUUGUUGUCUAUUUGAGCUCCACAGAAUUUAAGAAUCAAGAAGACUAGCAGACGGAGGACAUUCUAAUCGCUGUCAGAAUGCUGCUGACUUUCAAAUACACCUCUGCCACCUGCUAGCUACAUCAAGAGAAAUUACGUCAAAAUUCAGCUUGGGGGAGAGCACCCCCAUUUAUCUCGCUAAGUAUUUCUACCUAUCUGUAUACUUAUAUUAUGUUAGAAUAUUAAAAUACAUAAACUAUGAAAAACCAAAUAAAGAUUUUGUGUUUAUAUAUAUAUAUAUCUUUUGCUUAGUGUGUUUAAUAAAUAAAUAAAGUGGCUAUGCUAAUCUGAAUCUUAAUAAUAAAACUGUAGCAUGGAUAUGAUGAAUAGUUGCUCUGCCUAAUUUGCAAAUUUGAAGUUCUCUCUCAAGUUUAGACAUAACUGUUAUAAUUUAAAGCUUGCUCUAGAUCUAAACUUAUGGGAUGAAAACUUGAUAUGAAAUCUAAGUUGUUAACGGAUAUGAUAUGGGAAGGUUGAGCUGCUGUUUAUCUGUUCCUAGAGAUGCUAGAAUUCUGGAGAAUUUUAUCUUUGAAAAAAUCUUUAAAAUAUUGCAUGAUGAGUUCCUGUAUGAUGAAAGUUUAAAUUCCUACCACAGCCAUAUAUACAUGCUUGCUAGACUUUGAGCCACACAUUUACUAUUUACUGCUUAUAAGCAUUGAGUGUGGUCAAGCUGUGUAGACCCUUAGGAGCUUGUCAUGUGGUUAAAUCAAGAUUCACUUGCACGUUCACUCAUAUAUGCUACUUCUACUCCGGAAGUACCAUCCACAUAUAUCCAUCCAUGUCCAUCUCCAGAACCACCCAAAAAUAUUUUACUCCUAAUCCGGGAGAGAAUAGCCAAAAAUAUUUCUGUUUUCCCUUGUGAAAUAAAUGCUCAAGUUAUCUUGCUACUAUCGCUUGCUAUAUUAUCUCAAGAGAUGAGUGCUCUGAAAAAAAAAAGAGAAAAGAGAAGAAAAGAAAAUAAAUAUAUAAACGAGGAAAUAAAAAGGGGCAAGUGCCCGGAACCUCGAAAGAAAGAAAAAGUGAGACGAGAGGUAAAAAUGGACAAGUGACCGACAGUAGAAUUAGGGGUACAAGAUACCCACCUGAGAGGAAAGAAAAAGAAGAACAUCUCAUUCUCCUCAUAAAGUUUCAAAAAGCAAGGAAGGUAUGUAUCCCCUCAAAAGAGCAAAAGUAGAAUUAGACUUACACCAUUGUUAUCACCAUCAUCACCAUACACCAUUCAUUCGCCACACAUGCACAUCUUGAUUUGGCUUAUUGAUUUGUUUCUUUGGAUCCAUGGUUUGACUAUACAAUAAAUGUCUUGUAAGUAUGUAUACUUUAUCUCCCACCUAUGAGCUCCAGAUAUUAAAGCCUUAUUAGAGUAGGGUGAGAGAGAAGGCAAUGUCACUAUGCCUUAUACCACAAAUACCACAUAUCUUGAGAGAAGGCAUAUACCAUCACUGCCUUGGUAAGGAUCCAGAAAUACCACAAAAGAGAGAUUUAGAGAGUCAUACAAGGAAUCUCUGAGUUUUAUUUGAAAAUCUGCAAAAAAAACUCCAGAGCUAUAGCUGAUCAAGAAUAAGAGACAUGGCACUUGGCUAGACUGUUCUAUCUUUUAACUACUCAAGACAGAAGUGACGGUCACAAAUCCCAUGGUGAAAGGUAAAGUAAGUAAGUUUUAUUUCUUGACAAGUUUACUCUAACUCAGAGAUGAGAUCUUAUUUAAAAGCAUGUGUACCGUCAAAUUUUUAAGAUAUUGCAACAACUUAUGAUCCAUUGCUGAGUCUAUCCUUGCUCACGGACGAGCAAGAGUUAAGCUUUGUAUCGUAGAUAGGAAAUAUUGACCGGUGUGUUGACGGUCCUUAAGUAUCAAAUUUAAUUAUCAAAUAAACAAAGAAAAGGAUCCAAAUGAAAUCAACAUCUAGACUUAGGGUUUUAUCUGAUAGAAUUCCACGAGUUUUGGUGUUUGUCUAUUUCUGCAGGGGGUUAUCAGGAAAUACAGAGGAAAGGCCCACACGUCGGGAUUACAUAGAGAUAUUAACUUGCCGCGCAAUUAUCUUACAUCUAGAAGACUCCAGAAGCCACAGGAAGGAAGCGGAGGCCGAAAGGGGCCAGAGGCAGGGCGCCCGCCCUGUUUCCCUGGGCGCCCGCCCUCUGUUGGAGUCCAAACAGGACUCUGUUUCUCGGGAGAUCUCCACCGACCUAAUGGAUCAAGGAUAACCGUUCAAUCUAUGUCAGUUUGAUCCAACAGCCCAUAUUCACUUGAGGGGACUAUAAAACCAGACCCCCUGGCCCCUGGAGGAGGCACCCCUUGAUCAUUAUUCAUUAUUCAUAGACAGAGCAAAAGCUAGGGUUUGGAGAUGAGAGCUCUCCUCUCUUCUCUAAACUAGAGUAGAUCUAGAUAGU
rnacentral:lncRNA from 1 species